CGUGUUCACCAGACUCAGCCCCAGUGACUCGCGGUCGUUUCUGACAGGUUGUUCAGAAGUGGGGGGCUCCGGGGGGGUCUCCGGGGGACGAGGGGACGGGCUGUCGUGAGUCCCAGCCUCCUCCCCUCGAGGGCCCACGGAUGUCUCGUGGCGCUUUCCUCAGGUCCAGGGCUGCACCCAGGGAACCCGAGGAAUGAGCCUGUGCCUGCUUACCCAGGUCCCCAGCGCCUGGCCCAGCAAAGGCGGUGAUGGCAGGGACAAGAGACCAUCACUGAGCGCCUGCCAGGCACCACGGAAUGUAAAUCGUCCGUCGGAAAGCGAAGAACGAAGGACGAGGAGCAGAAGUUGUGGACGUGGUGAACCGUGUCAGUGCUGGUCUGGCGGCCACGGCCUUGGUGGUCACGCAACAGCCUGGGCUUCUGGGGUCACUGUCUGUCACCCAGAGGCAGGUGUCCUCACUCCCGUCGCACCAGGAACCACGCGAGGGCCCCGUGGAUGCUUCCAGGGGCCUGCGUGUCCAUCCCCCACGCUUGGGCCCGGAAGCCCUGUUGGUCCGCCUUCCAGGCGAGUGUCCCUCGGCCACCCUCCACCCGGAGCGGCUGUCCCCGCCCGCACACGGGGUCGUUCGGGGCUCGGGAGGGCCUGAACCUGGGUCGUGUGGUGCUGGAGAAAGGAUCGCAGGUUGUCCUUUCCCCCCAGCUUUUUGAGCUGUGAUGCACACACGCCAACGUGUAAGUGUAGGCGUUCCGCGUGACUGUCCGUGUGUGUUGUGAGCGGUCACCGCAGAGCACGGCUAGUCAGCGCCUCAGUGCCUCGUACGUCAUGUGUGUACGUGAGUGUGUGGUGUGAGGGUGUGCGGGUGUGUGUGUGUGAGGGCCUGCAGGGGGUGUGGGGUGUGUGCACACGUGUGUACGCGGGAGUGCAGUUUCCUUAUCCGUCCAUCCGUCCCUGGGUGCAGUGUUUCCACGUCUUGGCUGUUGUGCGUGUGGCAGUGGUGCAUGUGGGGGUGAGACGUGUUUUCUAGGUAGUGCUUUCCUCUCCUACAGGUGAUCACUGACCACCGGUCGAUCAGCGAGCCUCCCGUCGGGAGCGCUG
rnacentral:lncRNA from 1 species